AAUGAUAACUUGGCAGAAGAGGAGACAGGCUGCCAGGUUCUCCUCGGGUGGUUGCGUGACAUGGCUAAUUGCCUCAAGACUGAGAUCAAAUUCCACCUUGGCUGAAGAUGGCCCCACAGAAGGUCUUCACUCCCUGCUUCUCCACAGCAACCUCAGAUGGUGUGGAUGAAGGGCAGAAAAUCAGUCAAUCGUGGUACUGAGAAUGGAGCUGCUCAAACACCUUCUACUUUUAAAGGCAGGAUGAGAUUCCUGCGGGUCACUCCUCUCUUUCUCUCUCUAUUCACCAGUCAAGAAAAUUGUGGUAGUCAUGGAGUUAGCAAGAAACUGUUGUUAGAGAAUUUGGUUACAGCAUAUGGGAUCUGAAGAAUAAGCUUGGGUGAACCAACUUCAACUUCAACUUCCUGACCAGAGAAUUGACACUUCAAGAAUGCUUGAUGCAGGCUGGGGUGAAAGCAUAACUGACUAGUGUCAUAGGUCCUUCAGAGGCCACUGGAAUUCACUGCUGUGUUCUGCACACCUCUGGCUUUCUAUAUAAAGGAGAGUCUGGAAAAUAGCACACCUGAAAUCCUCUCUGACAGUCACAGGAUGCAGGAGAUCACACGAGGCCCUGGAUCAUCCUGUAAUGAAAGCUAUGAAACCCAUUGACUUCAGAAAUGUAUUUCCCAAGAAGUCUUUUGGAGGUAAAGCAUGCCUUAACAUCUGUCUGGAAACUACAGGUUGUUUUCAUGCUGUCAGAGACAGGGACUUGGUGCUGGAGGGAUGGGUUUCAGGUGCAGAGUUGUCCCUUCACGAAUUAGACCAUCAUAGGAAAUAAGUCCUGAGCCUUGCUUCUUCCCUCAAUGGACUCAUGUCACCAUUUCUAAAAUUCACCAUCCCCACAGCACUGUAAAAGGAAGGCACGCAUAAAGUUCUGCCUUGGAAGCCAUCAGACAGACAACACACACUGCUCAGCAACACAGGAAAGCUGCUGCCGUGUUACUAUCCUGUUGUAUUUUAAGGAGAAAAAGAAAAUCACAGCACAAAAUCAUGGCAGCACAAACCAGGUUUCUGAUACUGAAAGAGAGCGAAAGCAGGGCUGGCCCCACUAUACUGUGUGCAACCAUACCAACCAUUCUGGUAAACUCUCCUACAGUGAAGCUGGUUUUGCUUAUACCCACGCUGAUGAGUCUUUUAAACAGCCUCAUGUACUACAGAUGGUCUUGAACUCACUGUAUAACUGAAGAUGAUCACCAACUCCUGACCCUACCUCCAGCACCCCAAGAACUCGUAUGUGAUGUCAUGCCUUGUUUAUUCAGCACUAAGGAUCAAAGCCAGAGCUUUGGGAACACCAUGAGAACUUUGGGCAUGCCAUGAGGGCUUUGGGCACUCCAUGAGGACACUCCACAAACCAAGACAAAUUCCCAGCAUGCCUUUCUGACCUUUAAACUUUAUUUUAUGUGCUUGCUGCAUGUUUCAAGGAGGAGCAUAUGAUCUUCUUGCUCUGGAAAGGGCUGUGUACUUCUCCUCACUCUAGAUGAAGAGAUCAUCAACAAACUAAAGAAAGAAUUCCACUAGGCAUGGUGGCUCACAUCUUUAACCCCAGCACUCAGGAGGCAGAAGCAGGCAGAUCUCUGAGUUCGAGGCCAGGCUGGUCUGCAAUCAGAGUUCCAGAACAGUCAGGGCUACACAGAGAAUCCCUGUCUUGGAAAAC
ensembl:antisense Gm55759 predicted gene, 36388